UGUGCCAAUGUUUGGUUUGGAUCUCAAUCCAGAGGUAUCCUUUGUCAUUUGCAGAUCUUCUGAUGAUGAUGAUGAUGAUGAUGAUGAGAUCGAGUUUGUGAGCAGUAUGAACCGGAGAGAGUCGCUUUGUUUGAGACUGGAUCACCAUCACCUGUUCAAGACAAAAUAAUUAAAGGAAAAGCAAAAUACAUAAAACACAGGUACGAAAAGCAAUGGAUUGAGAGAUAUAGAUUGUGGUUGACUGGUGGCUGCUUUUUGAGAAAACAAUUAUUAAAAGAGUUGGACAUCAACAUCCAUGAUGCGGAUGGAGCAGCCAACCUGAAAACCUUGGGAAUGAAAGAUGGAAUCAAAAGGUGGGCUGGUGCUGGUAAUACAAAACCACGCAUUCAUCCUAUGGCGCUGCUGGUCUUUGGCGAGACAGCCUUGUUCAUCAUCAAGCAUCACUACAAAACUUGGCAUCAAAUUCUUCUCCUCUAUCGC
rnacentral:lncRNA from 1 species